UCAGAUUAUUCAGUCUUUUCUUUCGUUUUCAAAAUUGACUUUGUAGGUAUGAAAAAUCACUUGGUAAUUUUAGGAAUUUAAUUCCUUUACCGCCGGCUAAUCCUGUGCGUAACCCUAGACAGAUUUCUUGAUUGCAUCUUUAUGUUAAAUUGACGUCCUGAAGACUUUGGAGUUGGGCAUUAAUCUACUAAUUCAUGUGCUUGGUCAAGAUGAUAUACUAAUGUAUGCCGAUGUAAACUAGUGUCUUACAUAUAAGAAUAAGUGUGGAAUCGUCGUGCUCGGAGGUAUCUACAUUCUUGAUCAAUGGGAAUAAAAUAAUUAUUUGAGAUUCAAUUAGAGGCAAGAUGUUCAACGUGAUGAUGGAAAGUUACAAGCCAUUCGAAAUCCGAGAAAACUGCCCGAUUAAAUUAACAAUUUUACCAAACUACAAUGAUAUUAUGUUUCAAAAGAGCUCAAGUCGAUUCUCAGCGCUAUAGUUGGACGAAAGCAAGUUAACGAGUGGGUGCAGCAGGGUAUAAUACGAUCAUCAUGUUCAAAUGUAGAAAGCUAAGUGGUCUUUGCACAAAAGAAAAAUUACACUUACAGACUCAGCAUAGACGAAAGUGAUUCACAGACGAACUAUUUUUGAACAUUUUUAAGCGAAAUUGUUGGAUUUGACUUCAUGCUGACCCAUCCAAAGACAGUUUUGACAAAGACAAUAUAAACACUAAGAUGAGUAACGCCUAUACAUUUGAAUGCGACUCAAAAUUUCUAGCCUUGCUACCUAUCUGGAUUUUAUGACUUCUCACGACAUGCCAGCCGACUGCUGUUCGAUCAGACACGAGCAACGAAGUUAGUCGCCAGCCUGCCUUGCAAAGCUGGUCGAUGGUGCUUUGCGUCGCUUCGUUUUCUAAGUACAUUGAGCGAAAAAGUUUUGAUCUUACGAGCGACGCAAAGUACUUUUGCUUUAUCCAUGAAAUGCAUGCUUUUUUUAAAUGAUACA